GGAGUCUGGACCGUGUCUCAGUUCCAGUGUGGGGGAUUAACCUCUCAGUUCCCCUAGACAUCGUCGGUUUGGUGGGCCGUUACCCCGCCAACUGCCUAAUGUCACGCGAGCCCAUCCGUAUCCUAUGAAUAUUUCAAUGGAAAGGGAUGCCCCCUCCCAUGUUAUGCGGUCUUAGACGGCGUUUCCGCCGAUUAUCCCCCUGAUACGGGCAAGUUGCUCACGCGUUACGCACCCUUGCGCCGGUCGCCGUCAAUUAAGUAUUGCUACUUCAUCACGCUGCCCCUCGACUUGCAUGUGUUAAGCCUGCCGCUAGCGUUCAUC
rnacentral:rRNA from 1 species